AAGAAAGUGACAGAGCGGCCAUGUCGUUGGCUUGAAACCAACUUACGGGGGUUCAAGUCCUCCCUUUCUCG
rnacentral:tRNA from 1 species